rnacentral:rRNA from 1 species
GUUUGACCUCGGAUCAGGUAGGGAUACCCGCUGAACUUAAGCAUAUCAAUAAGCGGAGGAAAAGAAACCAACAGGGAUUGCCUCAGUAACGGCGAGUGAAGCGGCAACAGCUCAAAUUUGAAAUCUGGCCUCUUCGGGGUCCGAGUUGUAAUUUGUAGAGGAUGCUUCGGAGUCGGCUCCGGUCUAAGUGCCUUGGAACAGGACGUCACAGAGGGUGAGAAUCCCGUAUGUGGCCGGCCGCUUUCUCCAUGUGAAGCUCCUUCGACGAGUCGAGUUGUUUGGGAAUGCAGCUCUAAAUGGGAGGUAAAUUUCUUCUAAAGCUAAAUAUUGGCCAGAGACCGAUAGCGCACAAGUAGAGUGAUCGAAAGAUGAAAAGCACUUUGGAAAGAGAGUUAAAAAGUACGUGAAAUUGUUGAAAGGGAAGCGCUUGCAACCAGACUUGCCCGCGGUUGCUCAACCGGCCUUUUGGCUCGGUGCACUCUUCCGCGGUCAGGCCAGCAUCGGUUCGGGCGGUCGGAUAAAGGCCUUGGGAAUGUAGCACCCUUCGGGGUGUGUUAUAGCCCUCGGUGCAAUGCGGCCAGCCUGGACCGAGGUCCGCGCUUCGGCUAGGAUGCUGGCGUAAUGGUUGUAAGCGGCCCGUCUUGAAACACGGACCAAGGAGUCUAACAUCUAUGCGAGUGUUUGGGUGUCAAACCCAUGCGCGUAAUGAAAGUGAACGGAGGUGGGAACCCUUGGGUGCACCAUCGACCGAUCCUGAUGUCUUCGGAAGGAUUUGAGUAUGAGCAUAGCUGUUGGGACCCGAAAGAUGGUGAACUAUGCCUGAAUAGGGUGAAGCCAGAGGAAACUCUGGUGGAGGCUCGCAGCGGUUCUGACGUGCAAAUCGAUCGUCAAAUUUGGGUAUAGGGGCGAAAGACUAAUCGAACCAUUGACACAAGUCAAGCUACUAGGUGGUUUAAAGGCGACCCCAUCCCUCGCGGUGGAAGGCUCGCCUAGUCCCCACAUCCGGGGCUACACUACUAAAUUGCGGGGACGCUCUGAGGGCUCGAGACUACCGCGGCCGCCCCGAAAGGGACGGUGCAGCACCGGGGUGUACCACCCCGCGGUACGGUGAAAACGUCCGAGACUGAGCAACCGCGCAGCCAAGUCCUAACCCGGGCACCCCCCGGCACGGAUGCAGUUCACAGACUAGACGGUAGUGGGUGCGAGCGAACGCUCGCGCUUAAGAUAUAGUCGGACCCCCUCGAGAGGAGGGUUCGCGGGAGGAAGCCCUCGCGUCGGAUGCCCCUUUGACCUCGGUCGGAGGGGGUGCGUCGGGGGCCCGAGACCCGCGAAGGGGAGGCGUCGCCACCCC